rnacentral:rRNA from 1 species
UACGUAGGCAGCAAGCGUUGUUCGGAAUUACUGGGCGUAAAGCGAGUGUAGGCGGUUCGAUAAGUUUGGGGGGAAAUCUCCCGGCUCAACUGGGAGGGGUCAUUCGAUACUGGCGGGCUCGAGGCCGGUAGGGGGAAGCGGAAUUCCCGGUGUAGUGGUGGAAUGCGUAGAUAUCGGGAGGAACACCAGUGGCGAAGGCGGCUUCCUGGACCGGUUCUGACACUGAGGAGCGAAAGCGUGGGGAGCGAUCCGG